AAAUGAAACCCUGCAGCUACCAGUCUGCCUGCUGUGUCCAUGGCUGUGGCUGCUCUGGACAUCUGAUGUAAACAGAAGUAUGACAAUGUGGCCCCUGAGCCAGGCUUUGUUACUUAGCAGUUUUGUAGCGGGUCUGGGGACUCCAUUCCUUGUUAGGGCUGAACUGGGCCAUAGCCCUUCAGCUCAUGUCAUCCUGAAGCAGGUGAGGGAUCGCUGGGACUCCUGGCCUCAGGGCAGGCUAAACCAGGGCUCUAGGCUUUGGGGUGCCAAGCAGGCAUUGAGCUCCACUCACCCUGCCUUUGGGGCUGCUUCUCCCUAGACCAUGCCCUGGUGGCCCAGGCCCAGCAUGUGGUGACUUUUGACAGCUGGGUGUGAAACCUCAGCACCCAGUGUGGCAGCAUCCUGCUGGCCCAAGACUUUGCUCACAACACAUUCUCGGGGCUCACGGCCCUGAUUGUGUGGAGCUGAACCACCUGACCUUCAUCUUCUACCCCAGCCUGCAGGGGAGAACUGUCCAGACCUCCAGCUGCCUCUUGCCAUGAAGAGGAGAGACGUCCCCAGGAUUGAGCUGACCAGUUAGGACAGGGUCUCCAUCUCCUGUGACGUGCCCACCGGCCUCUGCAGCCUGAUUCUGAGCCUCUGGCACCACGGCAUAUCCGCUGGCCUUCUAGGCACCAAUGACAAUGAAGCAGGCAAUGAUCUGAUGUUGCUGGAUGACUCUGUGGCCCACAGAGGAGCUCAGCCUGGCCUGGCAGGUGGAUGGUGACUGCAGGGCCACCAAGAAGACUCAGCAGGCCUGCCCAGGACAGAGCCCUGCCAGCCUGGCCUUCUUCCAGGACCUCUAUUCCAGCUUGGGGAACUGCUUCUGGGUGUUUGAGAUUUCAUCUAAGCCAGCACUAGGCUGCCAAAGGCUUCAAACUCCUUCACCUUCUACUCUAAUUCCAGCUCCUUGACAAGGGCAAGAUUCUUGGCUGGGACAGAAUAACCAGCAUGGAAUGCCACGCAACUCAGAAUGACAUGUGCUUCAAAUGCAGGGAAGAAGAGCUGUUUGCCAUUGCACUCAAAAUACUUCUGAGGACAUGAAACUCUCCCACUGGUCUGGGUAAUUCUCCGCCUUCCUCCACACCUCCACUGUAAACCAAGAGACACUACGGCCAGCAAGUCCCAGCCCUGCAGAGAGCUCUACCAGCUCCUGUUCAUGCCCAAGAUAUUUAUUAACUUAUUCAACAGCCAUGUGGUAAGACACUGCUUCAGAACACUGACUGUGUGCAGGAGGACACGAAGUCGGGUUCUCAGCUGCCUGGUCCUGGCUUCCCCUGCCUGACCCAGGGGUCUCCUGAGGCAGGAGCUUCUUUGAGGGGAACUGAUAGCUCUUCAGAAGCCCAAUAGAGAGCUGCUCUCUGGGGUAGACACAUGAGGACUGAAGGCUUUCAAGGGCCUCUGUUUUGGUAGGGGCACCUGUGAACUCAGGCUCCCAGGCUAGAGCAUUCAGUUUUUUUUUACUUUCUUUUGGAACAUAACCUUUUCCUUUGAGUUUUCAACUGAAGAAUAAACCUAGCAGAAUCCAAGAAU